UUUGAUUUCUUGGUAUUUGUUUUUUGAGUUCUUAACACAUUGCUGAUGCUUUCUUCAAUCUGAAGUGCAAUUAGCAAAGACUUCCUCUGAUUCUUUUUAGGCUGUCUUUUCACUCAACUCUUUUAUUUUUUUUUUAAAUUUUUAAAAUUUUUUUGCUAUGUACAGCUUUUAAAGUUUGAAAUCCCAUUUUUUUUUAAAUCCUUGGCAUAAUUUUUGAGUAUCUGGAAUCAUUCUCAGAAUGUCCUUGCCUAUCCCUGUAUCUUGAAAUGACUACCCUAUUUUUUUUUUAAAUUCAUUUUACAUUCUAACCACAGUUCUUCCUCUAACAUGAGUUUCAGGUCUUUUGCCUCAGGUCAAGAGGAAUUGAGUCAGGAUGUAUUUGGCAGUAGCCCCAAGCUAUAAAGAAUUGCUUUGCCCAAGCCUACCUGUUGAGCUCCACCUGCAGAAACAAUAUGCCUGCGUAUUGACAACUCACCUUGUUCCCAGUUGAACUACAAAAACAGUUGUAGCUACCUAUUUAUAUAUCUAUCUACGUGUCUCUCAGCUCCUGUAAAGGCGAUCAGCCUUCAUCCUGAGGAGAGGCUGGGGCCCUUGCUGUUCCAGUAAGGCAGUCUCAGCCUUUUGACACAGAAUCUGUCUCUUUGCCUUACAUUUCUUAGAAAGAUGUCUGGUCCAUUUGGAGCACACCUGUGUAGAAGGGUGGGACUCCCAUUGAUGCUGAUGUCUUGAGUUGGCCUGGAGGAAACAGAUUGUCAAUGCUAAUGAGAUUGAGGGAGAAGACAGAUGGACCCCCUUGCUUGCUUGUGUUGUCACUUGCAUGUAACAUGCUGUACCAAAGGCCACUUUUGGAGGUCAGUGUACAGGGCUGUUUUCAGUCUCGGAUCUUGGCCAUGGUAGCACCUCUGAGCACCUUUCCUAAGAAAUCCUGAGCCUGCUCUUGGCCAGCAGCUCUGGUUAAUCAUUUGGGGAAUUCUUGCUUGAAACUAUCAAUGCAGACUGGCUGUCCUGGGAUACCUUUGAUCUCUCCUCCCUCUCAUGGUGGAUGGCGCCAAAAUAAGAGUAACUGGCAGCUGUCAGGCCCAUGCAGACUUUGUGACUGUGCCAAAUCAGUAGAUGACUACACUCAAGUUUUCCCACGCUAUUCUGAAUUCUAGACACUGGAGAAGUGUCUAAA
rnacentral:lncRNA from 1 species